AUACGGAGGGUGCAAGCGUUACGCGGAAUCACUGGGCGUAAAGCGCGCGCAGGCGGUCUUUUAAGUUGGAUGUGAAAGCCUACGGCUCAACCGUAGAACUGCAUCCAAAACUAUUAGACUAGAGUGUGGGAGAGGAAGAUGGAAUUAGUUGUGUAGGGGUAAAAUCCGUAGAGAUAACUAGGAAUACCAAAAGCGAAGGCAAUCUUCUGGAACACUACUGACGCUGAGGCGCGAAAGCGUGGGGAGCAAACAGGAUUAGAAACCCUAGUAGUCC
rnacentral:rRNA from 1 species